rnacentral:tRNA from 1 species
GGAGCUAAGGCUCAGUGGUAGAGCACUUGCCUACCAUGUAUGAGGCACUGGGUUCAAUCUUUAGCACCA